CCGACUUACCAACCCGAUGCAAACUGCGAAUACCGGAGAAUGUUAUCACGGGAGACACACGGCGGGUGCUAACGUCCGUCGUGAAGAGGGAAACAACCCAGACCGCCAGCUAAGGUCCCAAAGUCAUGGUUAAGUGGGAAACGAUGUGGGAAGGCCCAGACAGCCAGGAUGUUGGCUUAGAAGCAGCCAUCAUUUAAAGAAAGCGUAAUAGCUCACUGGUCGAGUCGGCCUGCGCGGAAGAUGUAACGGGGCUAAACCAUGCACCGAAGCUGCGGCAGCGACGCUUAUGCGUUGUUGGGUAGGGGAGCGUUCUGUAAGCCUGCGAAGGUGUGCUGUGAGGCAUGCUGGAGGUAUCAGAAGUGCGAAUGCUGACAUAAGUAACGAUAAAGCGGGUGAAAAGCCCGCUCGCCGGAAGACCAAGGGUUCCUGUCCAACGUUAAUCGGGGCAGGGUGAGUCGACCCCUAAGGCGAGGCCGAAAGGCGUAGUCGAUGGGAAACAGGUUAAUAUUCCUGUACUUGGUGUUACUGCGAAGGGGGGACGGAGAAGGCUAUGUUGGCCGGGCGACGGUUGUCCCGGUUUAAGCGUGUAGGCUGGUUUUCCAGGCAAAUCCGGAAAAUCAAGGCUGAGGCGUGAUGACGAGGCACUACGGUGCUGAAGCAACAAAUGCCCUGCUUCCAGGAAAAGCCUCUAAGCAUCAGGUAACAUCAAAUCGUACCCCAAACCGACACAGGUGGUCAGGUAGAGAAUACCAAGGCGCUUGAGAGAACUCGGGUGAAGGAACUAGGCAAAAUGGUGCCGUAACUUCGGGAGAAGGCACGCUGAUAUGUAGGUGAAGUCCCUUGCGGAUGGAGCUGAAAUCAGUCGAAGAUACCAGCUGGCUGCAACUGUUUAUUAAAAACACAGCACUGUGCAAACACGAAAGUGGACGUAUACGGUGUGACGCCUGCCCGGUGCCGGAAGGUUAAUUGAUGGGGUCAGCGCAAGCGAAGCUCUUGAUCGAAGCCCCGGUAAACGGCGGCCGUAACUAUAACGGUCCUAAGGUAGCGAAAUUCCUUGUCGGGUAAGUUCCGACCUGCACGAAUGGCGUAAUGAUGGCCAGGCUGUCUCCACCCGAGACUCAGUGAAAUUGAACUCGCUGUGAAGAUGCAGUGUACCCGCGGCAAGACGGAAAGACCCCGUGAACCUUUACUAUAGCUUGACACUGAACAUUGAGCCUUGAUGUGUAGGAUAGGUGGGAGGCUUUGAAGUGUGGACGCCAGUCUGCAUGGAGCCGGCCUUGAAAUACCACCCUUUAAUGUUUGAUGUUCUAACGUGGACCCGUGAUCCGGGUUGCGGACAGUGUCUGGUGGGUAGUUUGACUGGGGCGGUCUCCUCCUAAAGAGUAACGGAGGAGCACGAAGGUUGGCUAAUCCUGGUCGGACAUCAGGAGGUUAGUGCAAUGGCAUAAGCCAGCUUGACUGCGAGCGUGACGGCGCGAGCAGGUGCGAAAGCAGGUCAUAGUGAUCCGGUGGUUCUGAAUGGAAGGGCCAUCGCUCAACGGAUAAAAGGUACUCCGGGGAUAACAGGCUGAUACCGCCCAAGAGUUCAUAUCGACGGCGGUGUUUGGCACCUCGAUGUCGGCUCAUCACAUCCUGGGGCUGAAGUAGGUCCCAAGGGUAUGGCUGUUCGCCAUUUAAAGUGGUACGCGAGCUGGGUUUAGAACGUCGUGAGACAGUUCGGUCCCUAUCUGCCGUGGGCGCUGGAGAACUGAGGGGGGCUGCUCCUAGUACGAGAGGACCGGAGUGGACGCAUCACUGGUGUUCGGGUUGUCAUGCCAAUGGCACUGCCCGGUAGCUAAAUGCGGAAGAGAUAAGUGCUGAAAGCAUCUAAGCACGAAACUUGCCCCGAGAUGAGUUCUCCCUGACCCUUUAAGGGUCCUGAAGGAACGUUGAAGACGACGACGUUGAUAGGCCGGGUGUGUAAGCGCAGCGAUGCGUUGAGCUAACCGGUACUAAUGAACCGUGAGGCUUAACCUUACAACGCCGAAG
rnacentral:rRNA from 1 species